AUCCAGCUGAUGAGUCCCAGAUAGGAUGAAGUGCGAGUCAAACUGGAU
rnacentral:hammerhead_ribozyme from 1 species